ACUCCUACGGGAGGCAGCAGUGGGGAAUAUUGCACAAUGGGGGAAACCCCUGAUGCAGCCAUGCCGCGUGUGUGAAGAAGGCCUUCGGGUUGUAAAGCACUUUCAGUAGGGAGGAAGGUAGUGUAGUUAACACCUGCACUAUUUGACGUUACCUACAGAAGAAGCACCGGCUAACUCCGUGCCAGCAGCCGCGGUAAUACGGAGGGUGCGAGCGUUAAAUCGGAAUUACUGGGCGUAAAGCGCAUGCAGGCGGCCUGUUAAGUCAGAUAGUGAAAGCCCGGGGCUUAACCUCGGAAUUGCAUUUGAAACUGGCAGGCUAGAGUCUUGUAGAGGGGGGUAGAAUUUCAGGUGU
rnacentral:rRNA from 1 species